GCAUCUAAGCACGAAACUUGCCCCGAGAUGAGUUCUCCCUGAGACUUAGAGUCUCCUGAAGGAACGUUGAAGACGACGACGUUGAUAGGCCGGGUGUGUAAGCGCAGCGAUGCGUUGAGCUAACCGGUACUAAUGAACCGUGAGGCUUAACCUUACAACGCCGAAGCUGUU
rnacentral:rRNA from 1 species